UACGUAGGGUGCGAGCGUUGUCCGGAAUUAUUGGGCGUAAAGAGCUCGUAGGCGGUUAGUCGCGUCUGCUGUGAAAACUCGGGGCUUAACUCCGAGCCUGCUUCUGAUACGGGCAGACUAGAGGUAUGCAGGGGAGAAUGGAAUUCCUGGUGUAGCGGUGAAAUGCGCAGAUAUCAGGAGGAACACCGGUGGCGAAGGCGGUUCUCUGGGCAUGACCUGACGCUGAGGAGCGAAAGUGUGGGGAGCGAACAGG
rnacentral:rRNA from 1 species